GAUGAAGAACGCAGCGAAAUGCGAUAAGUAGUGUGAAUUGCAGACUUCAGUGAAUCAUCGAAUCUUUGAACGCACAUUGCGCCCCUUGGUAUUCCAUGGGGCAUGCCUGUUCGAGCGUCAUUUGUACCUUCAAGCUUUGCUUGGUGUUGGGUGUUUGUCUCGCCUUUGCGUGUAGACUCGCCUUAAAAUAAUUGGCAGCCGGCGUAUUGAUUUCGGAGCGCAGUACAUCUCGCGCUUUGCACUCAUAACGACAGCGUCCAAAAGUACAUUUUACACUCUUGACCUCGGAUCAGGUAGGGAUACCCGCUGAACUUAAGCAUAUCAAUAAGCGGAGA
rnacentral:misc_RNA from 1 species